AGGGUUUGAUUAUGGCUCAGGACGAACGCUGGCGGCAUGCCUAACACAUGCAAGUCGAACGAGAAAGUUCCUUCGGGAGCAAUUAAAGUGGCGCACGGGUGGGUAACGCGUAGACAAUCUGCCCUUCAGUCUGGGACAACUUUUCGAAAGGAGAGCUAAUACCGGAUAACAAUGCAUGACACAAGUUGUAUAUUUGAAAGCUUUAUGUGCUGAAGGAGGGGUCUGCGUCCCAUUAGCUAGUUGGUAAGGUAAAGGCUUACCAAGGCAACGAUGGGUAGCGGGUUUGAGAGGACGAUCCGCCACACUGGAACUGAGACACGGUCCAGACUCCUACGGGAGGCAGCAGUGGGGAAUAUUGCACAAUGGAGGAAACUCUGAUGCAGCAAUGUCGCGUGAGUGAAGAAGGCCCUUGGGUCGUAAAGCUCUUUUAUGGGGGAAGAUGAUGACGGUACCCCAAGAAUAAGCACCGGCUAACUAUGUGCCAGCAGCCGCGGUAAUAC
rnacentral:rRNA from 1 species